AUGACUUCUAGUGAGGGCAGUUAUCACCAUAGAGGUCCUUGCUUUGAUGGUACUAACUUUGCUAGUUGGAAGCAUAAGAUGAAAAUGCAUAUUCUUGGUUAUAAUCCCGCCGAAUGGGCAAUUGUUCGUAUUGGCUUGCGAGGUGAAUUCUUUGAAGAUAGAAAAAUUCUGGAUCGUGAAGCAACAACGAAAGAGUUGAAGAUGUUACAAUACAAUGCUCAAGCAUGUGACAUACUCUUAAAAUGGAUUGUGCCCCGAGGAGUUCAACAAAGUCUUGAGAAUGCCAAGGAAGUUUGGGAUACUUUGGUUAAUAUGCAUGAAGGCACCGAUUCCAUCAAGGAAUCCAAGUUGGAUGUGCUUCAAAGUCAACUUGACAAGUUCAAGAUAAAGGGUGAUGAAGGAGUCGCAGAAAUAUACUACUGUCUCACUAAUCUGGCCAUGGUACCCAAGAAGGAUAUGUCUUGGCGCUUGUGCAUCGAUUUUAAGGACCUCAACAAGGCCUGCCCUAAGGACCCCUUCCCCUACCACACAUUGACCAGAUCGUGGAUGCAACAACAUGGCAUGACUCACUGUGCAUCCUAG
rnacentral:rRNA from 1 species